AUGGUAAUAUGAGAUAAAUGUAUUGUUUUGCGCACAAGUGUUGCACAAUUCCCUUGUUAAAAUUCAUUUUCUCCAAAAAAUAUUCGAUAUUACAAAAUGGAAGUGAAUGGUUUUUCAUGUCUGGUAAUUAAAAUUUCGCACAUGAGGCACAAUACUUUUCUAAAUUUAUAGGCCCAGUGCAUAUUGAUGUUUGUGUCACACUGGGUCAUACAAACCACUGCGUUAAGAUUUUGAUAAACGUCAGACCCCACCGGCGAAUUUGAGAUAAAUUUGUUGUGGCCAAGAAGUUUUAGGAUCCAAUGUUGGGCGAGAGCUGUGGUUACGAAUGUUUUUUGAACCAAAAUGGUUUCGCGCGUUCUCACCUUGCUGCCCGCAUAUAGUAGACACUUAUUGCUGGAGGGGAAACAAAAUUUAGUAAUUGUGCACUCCUUAAGAAUGAGUUCAAAGUUGCUCAGCGAAAAUGUUUGGGAUUCAGAUCCAGAACUGUUUAAAAUUAUCGGGAAGGAAAAACAGAGACAAUGUAGAGGUCUAGAAAUGAUUGCAUCUGAGAAUUUUACCUCUUUGGCAGUAUUACAAUGUCUAAGUUCCUGUUUGCACAAUAAGUAUGCCGAAGGCCUUCCUGGGGAUAGGUAUUAUGGAGGAAAUCAGUUUAUAGAUCAAAUAGAACGUCUCGCUCAAAAGCGGACAUUAGAAACUUACAGACUCGACCCCGAAGAAUGGGGAGUUAAUGUUCAACCAUAUUCGGGGUCUCCAGCCAAUUUUGCAGUUUAUACAGGUAUUGUCGAACCUCAUGGACGAAUCAUGGGUUUGGAUUUACCUGACGGCGGUCACUUAACUCACGGGUUCUUUACACCGACUAAAAAAAUUUCGGCAACUUCAAUAUUCUUUGAAUCGAUGCCUUAUAAGGUUCAUCCAGAGACAGGUCUUAUUGACUAUGACAUGCUACUAAAAACCGCUCGUCUCUUCAAACCAAAAAUUAUUAUCGCCGGAGUGAGCUGUUACUCUAGAGCCCUGGAUUAUAAAAAGUUCAAAGAAAUCUGCAACGAGGUGGGCGCCUAUUUAAUGUCCGAUAUGGCACACAUUUCUGGAUUAGUUGCUGCGGGCGUUACUGCGAAUCCCUUCGAGUACAGUGACAUAGUGACAACCACUACACAUAAAAGCUUAAGAGGACCCAGGGCUGGAGUUAUCUUCUUCAGAAAAGGUGUCAAAUCCGUAAACGCCAAAGGCGAGAAAAUCCUUUAUGAUUUCGAGAAUAGAAUAAAUGAAGCAGUUUUCCCUGGUCUACAAGGUGGGCCUCACGAAAAUACAAUAGCAGCAAUAGCUACCACAAUGAAACAAGCCAAUACCCCGGAAUUCAAGCAAUAUGCGCAAAAUAUAUUAAACAACGCUAAAAGAUUGAGCGAUGGUUUGCAGAAGAAGGGAUAUAAGGUGGUAACAGGCGGUACUGAUUUGCAUUUGCUUUUACUGGACGUGCGGUCAGCUGGUCUCACAGGGGCGAAGGCUGAAUACAUUCUAGAAGAGAUUUCUAUCGCUUGCAACAAAAAUACAGUGCCCGGAGAUAAAAGCGCAAAGAGUCCAUCCGGUAUCAGGUUAGGUACACCGGCUUUAACCACUCGGGGCUUAGUAGAAAAAGAUAUAGAUGUGGUGGUUGAUUUUAUCGAUUCCGGUCUUAAAUUGGGCAAGGAGAUCGGCGAAAAAUCCGGCCCAAAAUUGGUUGAUUUUAAGGCUGCAGUUCACAGUGAAGAGUUCAAUGGAAGGGUUGCUUGCCUGCGGGAGGAAGUGGAAAAUUUCAGCGCGAAGUUCCCCUUGCCCGGUUAUGAAACUUACUAAACUCUAAGAUAAAAGGAUGUUUUGUCAUGGUUUACAUAUAAAAUAGCGUGGCUGUUGGCUAUCUAAAUGUUUUCGGUCGAUUUUUUAUACAAAUAAAUGUACACCAUUUCAGGUACUUUUUAAUUUUAAUAUACGCCGCCAGUGAGCUUUUAUACUUUUAACGGGCCCUACCCUUCUACUCCGUGUAGGCGUAUCUAUCGCCGGUUAUAUGAGCAGAAAUGUACAGGUAGCUAGUUAAUAAUAAUAACAGGUCUUUAUUUAUAUAUCUAUAAUCAAAGAAGUAAGACAGUGUAAGAUAGGAGGGAGGAGAUCUAACAAAGUUAGUCACCACCCUGAGAGAAGAGAUUUUAUGAAUUAAUCUACAUUAAUCAGACUGUAACACUGUGAAAGAGAGGUUGUAAAAAUACAUUUAUACACAUUUUAAUAAACAAAAAACUCGAACACUUUUUUUAUAGUUAGUCACUUUAAUGGAUUGGAGGUGCUGCAUGGAAAUACAGAAAUAAGCACAGUAAAAAGGAAAAAAAAGCAUUAAUUGGAGAGUAGAAUAGUUUUAAGAUGCUUUCUAAAAUCGGAAGCGGUCGAGCAGCACUUGAGGUAAUCUGGAAUGAAGUUGAAAUAUUUAGUGACGUUAUAACUGAAAGAACGCUGAUAAAGGGCAGUACGGUACCGUGGGACAGUGUACAGAGAAUUAUGAUAGUUUUCAGCGCUGAUGAAUAUCGGAUCCCUUGACACGUUUUUCAAAGAUACUUUGGCUGUUCGCACUGCGCAAUUUUAAAGACUAGUGUACAUAAGUGGAGAAAGAAUCUUUGAUUUAAUUUAAGCCAUCCGGAUUCGCGAUAAUACGGUGAAAUGUGAUGAAAUUUCCUGGCAACUGUUUUGCAGCUUCUGUAGUCUUAUCUGAUUUUUGUUGAAGAGGGCAGGCCAGUAUACCACAUUACAUUUCCCAUAACUUCUGAAGUAACCGAGGACACGUGCUAUUCGAAACGAAGUUUGCUAUUAAAAAACAC